GGAGACGUCAACAGCGUCAAUAAACAACUACAACAACUGAAAACGUCGCCGAUUUGUACGACAAUGUCCAAACAACCCAUCGAUGGACCGCUCGAUGCGGAAAAGAAAGAGGUUACCGUCGCUGUGACGGCCGCCGAAAAUUUUGAAGAGCAAGUCGAGGAAGUCGGGAAAGUCACGCCGCCGGAUGGUGGUUACGGAUGGGUUGUGGUCGCCGCGAGUUUCCUGGUCAACAUGGCGGUCGACGGGGUGAUCUACACGUGUGGAAAGAUCCUUGUACCGAUCUGGGCAGAUCAGUUUGGAUCCACAUCGGUUGCCGGUGCUGUCAUCUCGAUUCUCACCGGAUGCUAUUAUCUUGCUGGACCACUGGCCUCGUCGUUCGUCAAUGUGUUCGGAAUCAGAUCGGUAGCGAUCGCCGGAUCGAUUCUCGCCACCACCGCCUUCCUCCUGUCCCGUUUCGCCAGCACAAUCUGGGAACUUUAUCUCCUGUUCGGAGUUCUCGGUGGAAUCGGUUUCGGAUGUAUGUAUCUCCCGUCGAUUGUCAUUCUCUCGACAUAUUUCGCGAAAAAACGCAGCGUCGCCACCGGAAUUGCCGUCUGCGGCUCGGGAAUCGGUACGAUGGUCUUCUCGACGAUCAACGGGCCCGUCUUUGAUUAUUUCGGUAAAGAUGUCGGCUCAUUUAUGGUUUAUCUGGCCGCAAUUGCCAUUUCCGGAUCACUUUUCUCGCUUCUUUUCGCUCCACUUAAAGCCACUGAACAUCAGGUCAAAAAAGUCGCGAAAAUGGUCAGAAAUUACGAAGGAAAGCCGGAAGAGCCGACACAGAGACUGCUCGAAGAUGUUCGUAACGAUUUGGAAGAGCUCAAUCGCCCCGGACACAAUGCUGACACUUUUUACGCCGGAAAUGCUCCAGUUAGCAGAAGCCGUUCCAAUACUUUGGACCGGAAAGCCGCCGAAUCUGCUGAAGCUCAUGUCGUCCACGCCACCGAACACCACACCGUCCAUCAUGUCGUCAAGAAGAGCAAAUUCACCAAAUUCAAGGAAUCACUGUGCUCUGUGCUCGACAAGGAUCUUCUCUUCUCUCCAUCAUUCAUGACUCUUGCCGUCUCAGGAACUUUCACCGUCCUCUCGUUCCUUGUUCCAUUCGUCUACUUGGCUCUUGCCAUGAAGCAGAAGAAUCCGGAUUUUACUGAUGCUGAAUUGUCACUUCCAGUCACUCUAAUCGGUGCUUUCAACAUUAUGUUCCGUAUCGGAUGUGGAAUGGUCGCUGAUCAUCCGAAAAUGUCGGCUCUUCAAGUUUCCAACGUCGCCACCAUCAUCGCCGGAACCUCGAUGCUCUUUGUGCCAUUUUGCACUGAGCUCUGGCAUUACGUCGUUUUCUGCAUCCCGUUCAGUGCCGGAGUUGCUUGCUUCGCCGCUCUUCGUUCGGUCAUCUGCGUCGAGCUGAUCGGAGUCGAAAAGCUGUCGAACGCGUUCGGCAUCCUGAUGGUUUUCAUGGGAAUCGGCGCUGUCGUCGGCGGGCCGAUUGCCGCUCAAAUCAAGGAUAUCACUGGCAACUACGACAUUAGCUUCUACGUGAUGGGCAUCAUUUUCGCCUUCUCCGGCGUCAUGACUAUCCGUUUGCCAGAGCUGAAGGCGUGGGAAGAGUCGAAAAAACUCGCACGCGCCGGAACCGAGAUGCGUGUGAUCUCUGAAGCAUCCUAA
rnacentral:misc_RNA from 1 species